rnacentral:tRNA from 1 species
GCCCGCAUAGCUCCAACGGUAGAGCAAUCCCAUGGUAAGGGAGAGGUUGCAAGUUCAAAUCUUGCUGUGGGCACCA